rnacentral:siRNA from 1 species
UGGGUUUCAAUUUGCUUUGCA